rnacentral:rRNA from 1 species
UGCAGUCGAGCGGAACGAUGGAAGCUUGCUUCCAGGCGUCGAGCGGCGGACGGGUGAGUAAUGCAUAGGAAUCUGCCCGAUAGUGGGGGAUAACCUGGGGAAACCCAGGCUAAUACCGCAUACGUCCUACGGGAGAAAGCAGGGGAUCUUCGGACCUUGCGCUAUCGGAUGAGCCUAUGUCGGAUUAGCUAGUUGGUGGGGUAAUGGCCCACCAAGGCGACGAUCCGUAGCUGGUCUGAGAGGAUGAUCAGCCACAUCGGGACUGAGACACGGCCCGAACUCCUACGGGAGGCAGCAGUGGGGAAUAUUGGACAAUGGGCGAAAGCCUGAUCCAGCCAUGCCGCGUGUGUGAAGAAGGCCCUCGGGUUGUAAAGCACUUUCAGUGAGGAAGAAGGCCUUCGGGUUAAUACCCUGGAGGAAGGACAUCACUCACAGAAGAAGCACCGGCUAACUCCGUGCCAGCAGCCGCGGUAAUACGGAGGGUGCGAGCGUUAAUCGGAAUUACUGGGCGUAAAGCGCGCGUAGGCGGUUUGAUAAGCCGGUUGUGAAAGCCCCGGGCUCAACCUGGGAACGGCAUCCGGAACUGUCAGGCUAGAGUGCAGGAGAGGAAGGUAGAAUUCCCGGUGUAGCGGUGAAAUGCGUAGAGAUCGGGAGGAAUACCAGUGGCGAAGGCGGCCUUCUGGACUGACACUGACGCUGAGUGCGAAAGCGUGGGUAGCAAACAGGAUUAGAUACCCUGGUAGUCCACGCCGUAAACGAUGUCGACUAGCCGUUGGGCUCCUUGAGAGCUUUGUGGCGCAGUUAACGCGAUAAGUCGACCGCCUGGGGGAGUACGGGCCGCAAGGUUAAAA